rnacentral:rRNA from 1 species
AGCUCCAAUAGCGUAUAUUAAAGUUGUUGCAGUUAAAAAGCUCGUAGUUGGAUUUCUGUGAGAGUGCCGGUGUCGGCUGAUGCUUGUACGCAGGCGCUCUUACAUCCUUCUGUUAACUGUUCUUGGCAUUUUAUUGCUGGUUCAGGGCUCAGAUAUUUUACCUUGAGAAAAUUAGAGUGUUUCAGGCAGGCUUAUGCCGGAAUACAUUAGCAUGGAAUAAUGGAACAGGACCUGUGCGUCUCUCGGGGCGCCGGUCUCCGUUGUUGGUUUCGGGGACUAAUGUAAUGAUUAAUAGGGAUAGUUGGGGGCAUUAGUAUUUAAUAGUCAGAGGUGAAAUUCUCGGAUUUGUUAAAGACUAACUUAUGCGAAAGCAUUUGCCAAGGAUGUUUUCAUUAAUCAA